UAAAAUCAAUUCAAAAUUCUCAGCCAAAAUUUCAAGUUCCUUGUUCAUAUUUUCCAUAAUCAAAGCCAUUGUUAUCAAGGAUUUAAGCAGAUUUUCGAGUUAGGUUUAUUAUUAAAGCAGAUUUCGUGGAGAAAAGAAUCAAAGCCAUUGUUAUCAAGGAUUCAAGCAGAUUUUAGAGCUAGGUUCAUUAUUAAAGCAGAUUUUGUGGUGGAAAGGUUAGUUUUAAAUUUCGGUUUUGAUUUUUUGAGCGUUUUUUGUUCAAGUUCUGAUUUUGUAUAUCAAGAAUUUAUGGACAAUAUAUGAAAAGCCAUUGAUUAUCAAAGAUUUAAGAAGAUUUUUGAGCUAGAUUCAUUAUUAAAAGCAGAUUUCGUGGUGGCAAGG